UACGGAGGGUGCAAGCGUUAUCCGGAAUCACUGGGCGUAAAGCGUGCGUAGGCGGCUUGUUAAGUCCGUUGUGAAAGCCCCGAGCUCAACUUGGGAAUUGCAGUGGAUACUGGCAGGCUGGAGUACGGUAGAGGAAGGUGGAAUUCCCGGUGUAGCAGUGAAAUGCGUAGAUAUCGGGAGGAACCCCAGUGGCGAAGGCGGCCUUCUGGGCCAGUACUGACGCUCAUGCACGAAAGCGUGGGGAGCAAACAGG
rnacentral:rRNA from 1 species